rnacentral:rRNA from 1 species
UACGGGGGGGGCAAGCGUUGUUCGGAAUUACUGGGCGUAAAGGGCUCGUAGGCGGCCAACUAAGUCCGACGUGAAAUCCCCAGGCUUAACCUGGGAACUGCGUCGGAUACUGGAUGGCUUGAAUUCGGGAGAGGGAUGCAGAAUUCCAGGUGUAGCGGUGAAAUGCGUAGAGAUCGGGAGGAACAUCAGUUGCGAAGGCGGCUCUCUGGACCAGCACUGACACUGAGGCACGAAAGCGUGGGGAGCGAACAGG